AUUGAACGCUGGCGGCAGGCCUAACACAUGCAAGUCGAGCGGAGCGGCGGACGGGUGAGGAAUGCCUAGGAAUCUGCCUGGUAGUGGGGGAUAACGUCCGGAAACGGGCGCUAAUACCGCAUAAUAGAAAAUUAGCCUAGGGCGGAUUAGCUAGUUGGUGGGGUAAAGGCCUACCAAGACUACGAUCCGUAACUGGUCUGAGAGGAUGAUCAGUCACACUGGAACUGAGACACGGCCCAGACUCCUACGGGAGGCAGCAGUGGGGAAUAUUGGACAAUUGGCGAAAGCCUGAUCCAGCCAUGCCGCGUGUGUGAAGAAGGUCUUCGGAUUUUAAAGCACUUUAAGUUGGGAGGCGUUACCCACAGAAUAAGCACCGGCUAACUUCGUGCCAGCAGCCGCGGUAAUUC
rnacentral:rRNA from 1 species